rnacentral:lncRNA from 1 species
CGACGGUGUACCGGAAGCCGGCGCCAUCUUUUAGGUGCCCAGCUGCCUACAGCUCAUAACUCUACCAAGACUGUAUAAGAUCGCAAGCAGUAAGUGUUGGGGAGGAGAGAUGCCUUUGUGAAGCUACCUGCAACCUGUGUUCUAUCAAAGAAGCUUUAAGUCCUUGGUUCACCAAGCUAGACUUGGGUGGAAAGGAUGUCUUCGAUCUGCCCUUGAUACCUUACCUAGAGUGAACAAACAUUUUGUUCACGUCUCCCCCAGAAAACGUCACAACAGAGGCAGGAGGACAACCUCACAGAAGUAGAUGCACCUGGCUGUGAUUCAUGGUUUUAGAGUGGACUUCAGAACCCCUUGAAAAGAUAAUAUAGCUGAAAGAGUGACUGUUUCAGUCAGCUGAUUAUGGAGAAAAGAUGUCCAGGAUCUGGAGGUGGUUUAUGUGGCCAGAGUAUCCCCAGAGCUGAGAUUCCUCCAGUGACUGACGGCUUCGUGGUCCACUGGGCUCCUGGAGCAUCAGACAACAAUGGACAGCCUUUAAAUUGGUGGCCGUUUGCCGCUGCUCAGGCGCUAACAGUAAGUGUCCCUUUUCUGAGUCUCUGGGCAAUAGUGGACAGAGACAUAGCUGUCCCUGAGAGGACAAAACUGACCACCUGAGUCCAGCACCCUGUUUCCAUCAGCAUCUGUACCACAUCCCUCAACUCUAUUUCCAGAGCAUUAUCAAGGGUCCACAAGGACUUGGCAUUUCAGGAGAUAAGCCAGAGAAACAUGGAGGACAAAGCCAGAGCAGAGAGGAGAGCCAGGCCAUGUGGGAGUGAGCAAUAGGGUGUGCACAUAUGUGUGGCUGAGGUAGGUGAGGGGUCUACCACAUGCCUGUGUAGCCGUGGCACAUGAUUUGUCCUCAUAUACUGUGGAGGUAUUGUACACAAA